rnacentral:sRNA from 1 species
GUCGUGAGAUGUUGGGUUAAGUCCCGCAACGAGCGCAACCCUUGUCAUUAGUUGCUACAUUUAGUUGGGCACUCUAAUGAGACUGCCGGUGACAAACCGGAGGAAGGUGGGGAUGACGUCAAGUCCUCAUGGCCCUUAUGGGUAGGGCUUCACACGUAAUACAAUGGCGCGUACAGAGGGUUGCCAAGGAGCGAUCUGGAGCCAAUCCCUUUCAAAGCGCGUCGUAGUCCGGAUUGCAGUCUGCAACUCGACUGCAUGAAGUCGGAAUCGCUAGUAAUCGCGGAUCAGCAUGUCGCGGUGAAUACGUUCCCGGGUCUUGUACACACCGCCCGUCACACCAUGGGAGUGGGUUUCACCAGAAGCCGGUCGCUUAACCUGAAAGGGAUGGCGCCGACCACGGUGAGAUUCAUGACUGGGGUGAAGUCGUAACAAGGUAGCCGUAUCGGAAGGUGCGGCUGGAUCACCUCCUUUCUAGAGAAACGGCGUUUCAUUCAGCGCCCACCAUCUAUCGGUUGUUCUUAAGCCAGGCGAGCGUGCUUGCGGGGUCUGUAGCUCAGUUGGUUAGAGCACACGCUUGAUAAGCGUGGGGUCGAUGGUUCAAAUCCAUCCAGACCCACCAGUUUUAAGCGGCGCAUUCGAAACGGGGGAGAAGACCCCGGGGGGGCCAUAGCUCAGCUGGGAGAGCGCCUGCUUUGCAAGCAGGAGGUCACCGGUUCGAUCCCGGUUGGCUCCACCAGCAUUUGGCGGGAUUCAAAGAGCGAGGAAUCAGCAAUCAGCGUCGCUUGAGUGCGAGGUUGAUUGGUGCUUCUUCUUCAGGAAGCCUGAUCGGCUGAUCUUUAACAAUCUGGGAUAGAAGGUAGUUGUUCUUGCGAAAGGGUGAUUGUGAUGAUCGCUUGAGUAGUGGGGACACUGGGUUAUGUAUUGCAUCGUGUUUCCGCGCUUGAGAAUUCGGGCGUGGGAUGCACAAACUUAAGCGUGAGAGUUACCUAUGAUCGAGUGAUGGCGUGAGCGACUUUGGUUUGCGUCGCCUUCGUUUAGGAGGCAGCAAGGUUAUAGGGUCAAGCGAAUAAGUGCAUGUGGUGGAUGCCUUGGCAAUGAUAGGCGAUGAAGGACGUGACAGCCUGCGAUAAGCUGCGGGGAGCCGGCAAAUGGGCGCUGAUCCGCGGAUUU